GACGAACGCUGGCGGCGUGCUUAACACAUGCAAGUCGAACGGUAAGGCUCCAGCUUGCUGGGGUACACGAGUGGCGAACGGGUGAGUAACACGUGGUGACCUGCCCUGCACUUCGGGAUAAGCCUGGGAAACUGGGUCCAAUACCGGAUAGGACCAUGGGGGGGAUACUGUGGUGGAAAGUUUUUUCGGUGUGGGAUGGGCCCGCGGCCUAUCAGCUUGUUGGUGGGGUAAUGGCCUACCAAGGCGGCGACGGGUAGCCGGCCUGAGAGGGUGGACGGCCACAUUGGGACUGAGACACGGCCCAGACUCCUACGGGAGGCAGCAGUGGGGAAUAUUGCACAAUGGGCGGAAGCCUGAUGCAGCGACGCCGCGUGGGGGAUGACGGCCUUCGGGUUGUAAACUCCUUUCACCAUCGACGAAGGGUUUCUGACGGUAGAUGGAGAAGAAGCACCGGCUAACUACGUG
rnacentral:rRNA from 1 species